AAGACUAUACUUUCAGGGAUCAUUUCUAUAGUUCGUUACUAGAGAAGUUUCUCUGAUCGUGUAGAGCACCCGAAACCACGAGGAGGAGGCGUGGCGUUCUCUCCUGAGCGUGAAGCCGGCGCUUGGUGUUGCCUUUGCAACUGCCACUUGCCAUUGAUGAUCGUUCUUCUCUCCUUGAUGGAGAGCAAGAGGGAGAGGACGCAGUCUGAGUGGC